AUCUUGAAGCCGUUGUCCCAGUAAGCGAGACCCUUGAUGCCCUUCGGCUCAAGCUUGGCAAGAAGGUUUUGCCCGAUCGGCCCCUUGGUGAUGCGGCCCAGAGCCGCCUUGUCCGGAAGGAUAUAAGGGAGAUCGAACACUUCGANNNNNNNNNNCCUGACGCCCAGCGGGCCGAACUUGGCGAGCGAUGGCGCCAGCAUCUGCACGGCGCCGAGU
rnacentral:misc_RNA from 1 species